ACUCAAUGAUGAUUUCAAGUAUAGAUGACGAGUCUGAGAAAUCCAUUCAAUUCAUUAUGAGGACUAUUCGAGGCAUUUGUCUGAGAGUU